rnacentral:rRNA from 1 species
GGUUGACCUCGGAUCAAGUAGGAAUACCCGCUGAACUUAAGCAUA